UACGUAGGGGGCAAGCGUUGUUCGGAUUCAUUGGGCGUAAAGGGUGUGUAGGUGGCGCGCUAAGUCGGGUGUGAAAUUUCGGAGCUUAACUCCGAAACUGCAUUCGAUACUGGCGUGCUUGAGGACUGGAGAGGAGACUGGAAUUUACGGUGUAGCAGUGAAAUGCGUAGAUAUCGUAAGGAAGACCAGUGGCGAAGGCGGGUCUCUGGACAGUUCCUGACACUGAGACACGAAGGCCAGGGGAGCAAACGGG
rnacentral:rRNA from 1 species